rnacentral:rRNA from 1 species
AUUGAACGCUGGCGGCAGGCCUAACACAUGCAAGUCGAGCGAGCGGCGGACGGGUGAGUAAUGUAUGGGGACUGCCCGAUAGAGGGGGAUAACUACUGGAAACGGUGGCUAAUACCGCAUACUAUCGGAUAACCCAUAUGGGAUUAGCUAGUAGGUGGGGUAAAGGCUCACCUAGGCGACGAUCUCUAGCUGGUCUGAGAGGAUGAUCAGCCACACUGGGACUGAGACACGGCCCAGACUCCUACGGAGGCAGCAGUGGGGAAUAUUGGACAAUGGGCGAAAGCCUGAUCGAGCCAUGCCGCGUGUAUGAAGAAGGCCUUCGGGUUGUAAAGUACUGUCAGUGGGGAGGCGUUACUCGAAGAAGAAGCACCGGCUAACUCCGUGCCAGCAGCCGCGGUAAUAC